rnacentral:rRNA from 1 species
AUUGAACGCUGGCGGCAGGCUUAACACAUGCAAGUCGAGCGAGAGGCGGACGGGUGAGUAAUGUCUGGGAAACUGCCUGAUGGAGGGGGAUAACUACUGGAAACGGUAGCUAAUACCACAUACCAUCAGAUGCGCUCAGAGGGGGUGAGCUAGUCGGUGGGGUAAUGGCUCACCUAGGCUACGAUCCCUAGCUGGUCUGAGAGGAUGAACGGCCACACUGGAACUGAGACCCGGUCCAGACUCCUACGGGAGGCAGCAGUGGGGAAUAUUGCACAAUGGGCGAAAGCCGGAUGCAGCCAUGCCGCGUGUGUGAAGAAGGCCUUCGGGUUGUAAAGCACUUUCAGCGAGGAGGCGUUACUCGCAGAAGAAGCACCGGCUAACUCCGUGCAAGCAGCCGCGGUAAUUC